rnacentral:rRNA from 2 species
CCUGCGGAGGGAUCAUUACUGAGUUUACAACUCCCAAACCCCUGUGAACAUACCUAUCGUUGCUUCGGCGGAUCCGCCCCGGCGCCCUCGGGCCCGGAUCAGGCGCCCGCCGGAGACCCAAACUCUUGUAUUUCUUUAGUAUCUUCUGAGUAAACAAGCAAAUAAAUUAAAACUUUCAACAACGGAUCUCUUGGUUCUGGCAUCGAUGAAGAACGCAGCGAAAUGCGAUAAGUAAUGUGAAUUGCAGAAUUCCGUGAAUCAUCGAAUCUUUGAACGCACAUUGCGCCCGCCAGUAUUCUGGCGGGCAUGCCUGUUCGAGCGUCAUUUCAACCCUCAAGCCCCCGGGCUUGGUGUUGGGGCUCGGCCCGUCCCUCGUGGCGCGCCGUCCCCGAAAUCUAGUGGCGGUCACGCUGUACUCCUCUGCGUAGUAAUCUAACCUCGCAACGGGACAAAGCCUGGCCACGCCGUUAAACCCCCCACUUCUGAAGGUUGACC